UGGAACAUCUUGGGUUGCAUCCUUAUCCGAAGGAGGCAGCCCGUCCGGUAUGGUCUCGAACUGGAAGUCGGGCAAGCCCUUGACAGAGUCCGGGCCUUUGGACCGGAUUAGGCGCCUGUGGUUGAACUCUGUGUUAACAAAGGUUAUGUGGAAGCCUCUUGAGUGAAGAAGCUUAGCUAAUUGCAUCAUGGGGUUAACAUGGCCUUGAGCUGGGAAAGGGACACAAACCGCAUGUAGUUUUUUGGUUGCUUCUCCUAUUGAACCCAUCUCUCUUUACCAAUAUAAGCAAGGCCUGUGUGGUGAAACCCAACUUUGCUCGUGUCAUUUAUAGAAAAUGUGCCAAGCCUUGCCUCUUCGGCACUUGAUACUGACAUUGGAGUCACUUUGGUCAAAACAAAACAAAAAUUACAGUUUACUAAUAUACAAGUGAUGUGUCAGUAACAAUAAAAUUGCCCAUUUCACCAGAUCAUCACAUGGGCUGACAUGGGAUAGGUAGAAACACGUAUGAUUUACCUUGCCCUUGCUGCAGGGCCGCCCCUGCCUACCAAUGGACACCAGUGCGUGUAAGAGCUCGUUUGUUAUUUUCUUUUCUAUGCCGCUAGCUUUGAACAGAUGAAUGACCCCGGCAACAUUAGAGGAGUAAUUAAUUUUACAUCAUUGUCAUUGAAGGGCACGUUUUCUUACUAAGAAUAUAAAUAUUGUAGUCCUGCGAUUUUGAGAAUCAUAAAAUAUAAAUAUUAUAGCUACAUAAAGUACGGCCGUUCCUGCGAUUCUGAGAAUCAUAAACAACAAACGAAUACAACGAGGCCCUUAUUUUCAAAUUUGUUUACUUAACACAGAGAACAAUAUCGUGUACACAAAAAAUAAAGAACAAUAUCAUGCAUUGACGAACACAACACAACACAACACAAUGCUUACUUGUUUUAGUCUUCGGUGCGCACUAAGAGGAACAAACACGUGGGGAAGAAAAAAGAACAAAAGGACAAUUGCAUUGUUUGUUUGUUGUGCUUGCAAACAAAUCCGCAACAAUCAACACAACAAUAAUACAUGCGGGUUAAUCUGGCAGAGAGGGUUAGUCAAAUACGUGUGGGAAUUUUGGAUUUCCUUUUUGGGAGUUUAUAUUCUACUUUAUGCGAUAUUUGGGUAAUGGGUUUAUUAAAUAUGUUAGGCAAUUUUUGUUUCAGCUAGUCUAGUUGGAAUUUUUGUUAGGCCAAACCGAUGAAACCGAUUGGUUUAAAUUGUAAUUAUUGGUUUGGUUUGAUUUUGAUAAAAAAAAAAUGUCAAACGGUUUAAAAAUCGAAUCGGACCAUAUAUGAUUUGGUUUGAUUUGAUUUUGAAUUUUUGUGUUUUUAUAGAUUUUACCUUGGUUGGAAUAAAUGUGAGCUAAAAAUGCAUUAUUAAUCAAUAUAAAAUAUGUUUUUGCUCAUUUUCGUAGGUUGACUUCCUGGUCUUGGUCAGAAUGUUCCGGUGCUCAGAUGUGGUGAAACUCUUCAUGACACUUGUUCCAAUGGGUUUUGACUACAACAUAUCCAAAAGUUAGCUCCAUUGAAAAAGUAUUACCUCCCCAACUGAUCCAACAUUGAUACUAAUUCUGAAAAUCUAUUUUGGGUCACUUUUACCCUUCUUUUGGUAUCAUCUCCCUUUCUAAUUGUUACCAGACCUCUUGGUAACAAUUAAUUACGUUGUAGAGAUUUGAUUUCAGAUUGGUAAUAAAUUAGAAUCUCUCUCUAUGUAUUAAAACCAAAAUAAAAUGAUGGAAGUGAAGAAAAGUGGAGCAUAUGCCAAACACUUUGGGAAAAAGGUAAAGUAUCCUAUGGACCAGAACUGAACCUCUGGAAUGCUUACUUCCACCGCAGCUCUGCUCCCAAACCCCGUGACCCCAUCUGAAAUUAUGCAAGUAACUGGGGGCAUUUCAGACAAUUCACCAAGCUUAACCAGAAGCUCUUUGAAGGGACCAAGACAGUUUUUUCUGAUGGAAUCACUGAGUGCAGGAACAUCUUGGGUAGCAUCUGUGUCAGAUUGUGGAAGCCCAUCUGGUAUGGCCUCAAAUCUAAAGCCAGGUAAGCCCAUAAGAGCAUCUCCACCCAUAAGGGCUAAGUCUAGGGCAAGGGCAAGCAAGGGCUGCCACUAUUCACAUGAAUAGUGUCAGCCUUGCUAUUUGUGGUUCCAUCCAUGAGGGCUAAGUCUAAGGCAAUUACUAUUCACUUAAAUUUAUUUUUUAUUUUUUAUACUUAAACCAUUGAUUUUGAUAAGCUUUUCGGAUAAGAUUUUCGUUUCUCAAGUGUUAAUAUUUAUCGUAAAAUUCUCACCUAAAAAUCAAGAUAAUAUUUUCGGAUAAAAUUUUGAAAUUAAAAUUGGUGUGGAAAGUGAAUAAUAUUGGUAGGUAUGUAUAGAAAAAAUUUCCAGAAUUUUUUGAUAUUUUUUUAAAAAAAUUUUGAUAUUUUUUUCAAUUUUUUUUAGCCAAAAAUUGGACAACCGUUGGAUUGUGCAAGAUUUUAUGAUCAGAGGCUCUUGGAGAAGCCACAUGGCUUGUAAUCAUUGGGCAAUGUGGGCUGGUGGGUCCAACAGUAAAAAAAAAAUUGAAAAUCAGCUGCUGACGUCAUGCUGACGUCAGCAGCCCGAGGGCAACAGCCCAGUCAAUUUCUGCCUGUGGGCUUGCUCGGGCUGGUGGGUCCCAUGCUUUGCCUGAGCUGGAUUUCCUGCGCUGGAGCCAUAUUGGGCUUGCCAGGGGGCCUUUUGCCCAGUUUGAUAGCAGCGGUGGAGCUGCUCUAAGGGAUGAUGGGUGCCCUUGAGACCUGAUGAUACGCCUGUGGUUGAACUCAGGGUUGUCAAAGGCCCUUUGAGUGUAGGAGCUUGGCUAAUUGCAUCAUAGGGCUAACAUGCCCUUGUGAAGGGUAGGGGACACAAACUUCAUGGGGUUGUGUUCUUCCUCCAACUGGAACCAUCUUUUGCUAAAUUUACUUGGCAAGAGGAAAAAGCGGCAACCGAUCUAAUAUUGUUAUCAUGGCUUCCUUUAUUAUAUUUUUACCAACUAUAAGUUGGCCUUCCAGUCCUUUGGUCUUAUUUAUUUAUUUUUUUUAAUUUUAUAAAUAUUUGGAAUACAUCCAGUCAUUUUGUCUUAGUGAUCAUAUCUCAUCAUUUUCAUUAGCUUUUGUGUUUUUUUUUAUAAGGUUUCUAAAUCUUAAAAACCGAUUUUGGGGUUUGGAGUCCAAUUCUACUUUUAAGUUUAAAAAAUUGUAUUCAAAUAGAAUACCAAACGGGCCUUUAAAUAGAAUACCAAACGAGCCCUUAGCUUUUGAAAUACUUCGAAAUCUAAAAUAGAGAUCUGCCCAAUACAUAAUCAACAGGUAAUUCGAAUAUCAAUAUAUGUAUGCAUUUGCAACAAACUGUAGAAGGCUGAACGGAAAUAUUAAUUUUAUUUAGAAGCCCAGUCUGCUUGGAAACUGUAACAGAGUUGGGCUACAAACAACUAGAGAAACAACUGACGUCCAAAUAAAACAUAAACAUUAUUACAGCACUUGAACAUAUAUAUAUAUAUAUAUAUAUUUGGGAGUUCUUGACAAGGAAACAUAUUUGUUCCCCAUUGUAGCAGUCAUCCACCUUAAUGGAGAGACUUAAUCAAUCUAUCAAAAUUAUUGUACGAUGAUCCUCCAAUAUCAGUAGCUUGUACAGCUUUUUUCUUCCAUUCUUUUGCCUUUUGCCUCAUCUUCAUCCCCUUUUCUCCUUCAAGAAUCUCCUUAACAAGCACUUCGAUUUCGUCACGCUUCACAUCGGGGCUCACUUCCAUUCCAAUCCCCCAUUCAGUGCAUGCGUAUCGACAAUUCGUGUGUUGAUCAGCAAAGAAAGGCCAGCAAAUUACUGGCACGCCUUCGGAUACACUUUCAAGAGUAGAGUUCCAGCCAGUGUGUGUUAAAAAAGCCCCAACAGAUGGAUGAGCUAGCACUUGGUCCUGUGGACACCAGCUUGCUAUAUAACCCCUUUCCUUAAUCUCCUCAAAAAAUUCAUUGGGUAAAAUAGCUGAGUCUCCCUCUACCACAUCAGGCCUAACAAUCCACAAAAAUGGGUGCUUGCUAUUUGCAAGCCCCCAUGCGAAUUCUUUCAGAUGCUGAUCUGUCAUUGUAGUUAUGCUCCCAUAAUUUACAUACACAACUGAACUAGGUUUCUUCUGAUCAAGCCAUUUCAAACAUUCUGUGUCUUCUUUCCAUAAGUUUGAGCUAAGAGACUCGACCAAUUUGGUUUCCGUUUUAGACAAAUGCCUCUCAAGCAACUUAAGGGGGCCAAUGGUGUAGAUGUUAGGGAAUAUGGUUGAUAUUACCUCUAACACUUCAUGUUCAAAUUCAUCAUAUGUGUUGAAGAUGAUUGCAGAAGACUUCAAACAGUUUCGUGAUUCGGAUCCCAAGAAAUCGAACAUUAUGUCAUUGACAUCUGUGACUCUGAUGAAGCUGGGGAUGUCCCUGAGUCGAACAUUUUUCAUGCCUGGGAUCCAAUCAAUUGGUGUAUCCAGUGUACCAUCAUGCAGGAAAGUCUCUUCUGAAAUAUGCAUGGAAGGUGAACAAUAUGUGUGAUCAUACUUUAUGGUCACAUUACAGGAGUAUAUUUGAUCUCAAAUAUUACACGAAACUCAUAGGUUAAUAUUCUACAUAAUACGGUGUCAUUUUUUAGUUUGGAGAACUGGACCUAACUUUCCGAACAAAAUAAUUAUGUAUUUUGCAAGUGGUUAAGAGUAUUUACUUUGCAUUCUAGCUCCUAUAUUUGAUUUUCCCUUCAUCAAUAUCGCUUUGUAUAUAAAAAAACAAAAAUAUGUAUUUUUAUAUUAAACAAAGAAAUUAUGUCUAUGUUAUCAUGCAUACAAAAUCAAGAGUGAAUGACUUUCAACGUGUUUUUCUUAUAAAGAAUUAAUAUAUAUUGAUUAAAAAUAUUUAUAUUGUAGAAUGUGUAUAAAAUCUUGAAAGAAGUUAAAGAUUAGUCUUUUUUUUAAUAUUAAAACAGAAAUUAGGAAUCCUAAAACUAGUUCUUAAUUUAGUAAUAUUUUUCUCUGUUUUGCUUGACACCUCCUCAAAAUAAAAAUAUAAGAAAAAAAAUACGUAAUGUUAUUAAUCUAAAUGGAACUUUUUUCCAUUUUUUAAAGAAGAGAUAUCUAGUUUUCAAAUAUCUAAAAGGAACAAAAGGAUACAAAAGAGUCAAAAGGAUAGAAGGAUAACACCACAGCUCAACCAAGAAAAAGCAAUGGUUGAAAAACUACGCAAGUGUAUCAUUUGGUCUACCUCAAGCCUCAUAAGAAAUUUAUCACUCCAAGGAAUAUGUGCUUGGAAUAUUAUCGUGGGAUUGAAUGAUUCAACCUCAAGUCACAUAAAAAUGUUCAUAAGCCUAAAAUAAAUAUGCAACGGAAGUAUACCUUUGAAUGGAACAAUGCCUCGCUUGACGAGCUCACUGUAUUGCAAGUAACCCAAGAAGCCACAAGCAGAGGCAGUCCAAAACUGGACCUCCGGAAUGCCUAACUCCUGAGCAGCUUGCCUCCCAAAUCCCGUGAUACCAUCUGCAACUAUACAAGUAACUUGUGGCACUUGAGAUGAGGAGUUGAUCUUAGUGACCAGCUCUUUGAAUGGACCUAGACAGGUUUUCCUGGUGGAGUCGCAUAAGGCUGGAACAUCUUGGGUUGCAUCCUUAUCCGAAGGAGGCAGCCCGUCCGGUAUGGUCUCGAACUGGAAGUCGGGCAAGCCCUUGACAGAGUCCGGGCCUUUGGACCGGAUUAGGCGCCUGUGGUUGAACUCUGUGUUGACAAAGGUUAUGUGGAAGCCCCUUGAGUGAAGAAGCUUGGCUAAUUGCAUCACGGGGCUAACAUGGCCUUGAGCUGGGAAAGGGACACAAACUGCGUGUAGUUUUUUGGUUGCUUCUCGUACUGAACCCAUCUCUCUUUACCAAUAUAAGCAAGAC
rnacentral:lncRNA from 1 species